GUACUGAUGAAGAGUCCCAAACUAGAACGAAACGUCUGUCCAGUAC
rnacentral:hammerhead_ribozyme from 1 species